GCAGACACAUUCCAGCCAAUCAGCAGCAGACCCUCCCUCCCAGACCCUCCCACCUCCUGGACAGCUCACUAAGAAUGCAGCUUCACAAUGAAUAUAAAAUGGAUGCUGUCCAGGAGGUGGGAGGGUCUGGGAGGGAGGGUCUGCUGCUGAUUGGCUGGAAUGUGUCUG